CCUACGGGUGGCAGCAGUGAGGAAUAUUGGUCAAUGGGCGUGAGCCUGAACCAGCCAAGUCGCGUGAGGGAAGACGGUCCUAUGGAUUGUAAACCUCUUUUGGCGGGGAGCAAUGCCGGGGACGCGUGCCCGGAGGGAGAGUACCCGCAGAAUAAGAGUCGGCUAAAUCCGUGCCAGCAGCCGCGGUAAUACGGAGGAUGCGAGAGUUAUCCGGAUUUAUUGGGUUUAAAGGGUUGGUAGACGGCUUUUUAAGUCAGCGGUAAAAUUUCCGGGCUCAACCCGGGUCGGCCGUUGAAACUGGGGAUCUUGAGUGGGCGAGAAGUAUGCGGAAUGCGUGGUG
rnacentral:rRNA from 1 species